rnacentral:rRNA from 1 species
GACGAACGCUGGCGGCGUGCUUAACACAUGCAAGUCGAACGGAAAGGCCCCUUUGGGGGUACUCGAGUGGCGAACGGGUGAGUAACACGUGAGUAACCUGCCCUUGACUUCGGGAUAACUUCAGGAAGCUGGGGCUAAUACCGGAUAGGAAUCCUUGCUGCAUGGUGGGGGUUGGAAAGCUUCGGCGGUUUUGGAUGGACUCGCGGCUUAUCAGCUUGUUGGUGGGGUAGUGGCUUACCAAGGCUUUGACGGGUAGCCGGCCUGAGAGGGCGACCGGCCACAUUGGGACUGAGAUACGGCCCAGACUCCUACGGGAGGCAGCAGUGGGGAAUAUUGCACAAUGGGCGGAAGCCUGAUGCAGCAACGCCGCGUGCGGGAUGACGGCCUUCGGGUUGUAAACCGCUUUCAGCAGGGGCGAAGCUUUUGUGACGGUACCUGCAGAAGAAGCACCGGCUAACUACGUG